rnacentral:rRNA from 1 species
UACGGAGGGAGCUAGCGUUGUGCGGAAUUACUGGGCGUAAAGCGCGCGUAGGCGGCUUUGUAAGUUAGAGGUGAAAGCCCGGGGCUCAACCCCGGAAUUGCCUUUAAGACUGCAUCGCUAGAAUUGUGGAGAGGUAAGUGGAAUUCCGAGUGUAGAGGUGAAAUUCGUAGAUAUUCGGAAGAACACCAGUGGCGAAGGCGGCUUACUGGACACAUAUUGACGCUGAGGUGCGAAAGCGUGGGGAGCAAACAGG